rnacentral:misc_RNA from 1 species
UGCGUCGCUCCGGAAAAGUCGC